AAUUUGCGUGAGGGAUUAUAGCGAAAAUCCUUUUAUUUUUUUUCUUUAAAAAAAUAAAAGAUUGUAGCGGAAAGCCCGGCCCGAA
rnacentral:sRNA from 1 species